UGUCUGAGGAUUAUAGCAAGGCAAGCAAGCCCCUCAUAAAUAGCUGAGAAGCAGGGUUGGGUUGAGUUGUUACAUGUAUGCUUUGGAAGCAGUGGUUACUGGAGGUUCUUAUGGAUCAUUAUGGUUUGAAGAACCAGAAUGACUCAAAACACGGUGCAAGGAAGAUCCAUCCUUUUCUUCUGGACCAUAUCCACUUUUAGACAGCUUCUGAUUACAUUUAUGUUCCGUAUUGGCCUCAUGAGUGCUGAUCUUUAAAGGUCUGUACUUCCAGUUUUAGUAUGUGAGGACAUGAGAAGCAAGCUUAUGCAGGUCACUCACCACCUCAAGGAAAUCAGAUUGGUUUGACACACUUGUUCUCAUCAAAUCCCUGGAGGUGUCAAGAGCUAAGGAACAUAAUGUGUAGAAGUCAAAUGGCCAAGUUCUUGUUCUCUGAAUCCAAAUCAGUUACUAGCUACUAAGAUCUGUAGCAAACUGAGUGUGAGAUUAUCAUACAUCUGCUGCUGUGGUUUUCCUUCCUGUGAAGCACUUGGCUAUUAUCUGAUGCAAGUUCUUGAACACCUGAUUUGGGUUAUGGAGCAGUUUGUCUUGUGUUUCUAAAGAGUCAAACAACAACAACAGGAAGAAAAAUUUAAAAGCCUUGUAAUCAUCGUUUUAAUCAAAUGUUAUCUUCAGGCUGAUCUGCAUUUGGAAGCAUGGAUUGCUACCUGCACGUGCUGUAGUUGACAGUGGAUGCAAGCAGUUUGCCCGUCCGAGGGCAGCCAGUGUCUUACAGGCACCUUCUCGGUGUGUACACCCACUAUUAAGAUUAAUUUCGGGGCUCUUAGAGCAGGGCCAUCCCCAAAGCCGAACCACCUUCCAACUCUCCUUGCUUGAUGCCACCUAGUGGCUGCUGGCAAACAAGAGCUCUUAGCCCAAAAUUUGGGGAACACCCCAUCUUUAGGAAAGUAGCACUGCAAGUAGUAGUUAUUCUUGGAGUUGCAAAGAUAACAUCAGAUGAGGUUGCUCUCAAUUAUCUGCUGGCAUUAAUCAAGUUACUGAAUCCAUGGCAAAACCCAGCACAGGCAUGGCUUAUCAGAGUUGGCCCAGCUGUCAUCUCAAAAAGCCCAGCAGGAAACAACCCAUGAAAGUGAAUUAUUUGUAGGGGUUGUCACAGAAACCACAGAAACAGACCUUCCUUAAAAACUUAUGCCCUAUCCACAGCAUGGAUGUGGAGCCAAUGCUCAUCAGCAGUCUCAAACCUG